GUCAAUAGCCUAACGGCUGAACCAGCAAUUUGUAAGAACGGAAAACAAAAAAAGUGGUUUACCCACAUAAAGUUCAGGGUAUAUACUGAUAAUGACAGUUUGUAUCUUUAGGUCUUGACCAAAACACGUGCCAGCAGUCGCGGUAAUACGAGAAAGACUAGUGUUAUUCAUCUUUAAUAGGUUUAAAGGGUACCUAGACGGCUCAUACAGUCUAUAAAUUAAGAUACGUAUGUGGCUAGAGUUUUAUGUAAGAGGGUUAUAGUAUUAACAGAGUAGAGAUGAUAUAUGUUGAUACUGUUAAGUACGGGUAACGGCGAAGGCAAUCCUUUAAGUAAAAACUGACGUUGAGGGACGAAGGCUUGGGUAAUAAACAGGAUUAGAUACCCUAGUAGUCCUUGCAGACAAUGAUGAGUGUCAUAGGUUGGGUGAAUUCUUGGCCUAUAAAUGAAAGUGUAAGCACUCCACCUCAAGAGUAAUGUGGCAACGCAGGAACUGAAAUCAUUAGACCGUAUCUGAAACCAGUAGUGAAGUAUGUUAUUUAAUUUGAUGAUCCGCAAAAAACCUUACCACAGCUUGAAUAUAUUGGUGCUAUUCACCAUAUACAGGUGCUGCAUGGCUGUCUUCAGUUAAUGUCGUGAGACGCAGGUUAGAUCCAAAAAAUUAACGAAAACCCUUACUUUAUUUAUUCUUAUAAAGUAGUUCUUUGAUAUGUUGGAUAAGAUAAAAGGGACCA
rnacentral:rRNA from 1 species